GCUCCCCUGGACGGUUCUGACCAGGUUGUCCUUUUUACCGAAGCCUCCCCCAGCUGCCUCCGGAGUCCGGGGCUGGCGGCUCCUUCUCUCUCCUCUGGGGGAGGGCAAAGCCCCGCCACGGAUCCAGGUCCAGGCUGAGCGGCCCCGGUCGGCCCCGGCACUUCCGCGUUUGUCCCUUUUCUAGGGGCCUCUAAAGUGAGAGACAGACAGGGAGACAGCCCCUCCCCCAACCACUUACAGGGGCUGCCCCGGGCUCCGGCCCCGCCUCUCUUGUCCCACAGGCACAAGUUCAGAGACCCGGAACCGGUGAACUGGGGUCUUCCCGCCUCCCAGGAGUUCCAGAGCAGAAAGUCUCAGCAGUCAAAGGAGGGAGUCGGGGCUGCGCCUGCGCACUGCGGCCGCAUUCCACCCCCUUCCUUACCAGGAAAAGUCCAAGAACCACAACUGUGAGCCGCCCAGGAGCACGAAAGUGCCCAGGGCCUGGGGAGGUGGCUCUUGCACCCCCCCUUCUGACAGAGAAGGAAACUGAGGCAGAGGGCAGCAGCUGACAGCCCAGGCCCCCCUCCCACAUUCCCCUUCUCCAGGGAUCUCUCGAGUAUCCUGUUGCUCCUUCUGUUUGGGCAACCCCAUCCCCACUAAUGGCACAUCUGGCAAGUGUAAGGUAAGGCCUGCUGGCCCUGGUCAGAGGCCACGUUUCACUGUCCACACUGAGCUCACUUUCCCUACAACACUGUCUGUAACUUCACUUUGGGGCCACUGAGGCACAUUUAUUGAUGCAUAGAUUAAUAAAUAAGUGUUGGCUCCAUUUCACU